AUUGAACGCUGGCGGCAUGCCUUACACAUGCAAGUCGAACGGCAGCACGGGUGCUUGCACCUGGUGGCGAGUGGCGAACGGGUGAGUAAUACAUCGGAACGUACCUUAUCGUGGGGGAUAACGCAGCGAAAGUUGCGCUAAUACCGCAUACGCCCUGAGGGGGAAAGCGGGGGACCGUAAGGCCUCGCGCGAUUAGAGCGGCCGAUGUCUGAUUAGCUUGUUGGUGAGGUAAAAGCUCACCAAGGCGAUGAUCAGUAGCUGGUCUGAGAGGACGAUCAGCCACACUGGGGCUGGGACACGGCCCAGACUCCUACGGGAGGCAGCAGUGGGGAAUUUUGGACAAUGGGGGCAACCCUGAUCCAGCAAUGCCGCGUGAGUGAAGAAGGCCUUCGGGUUGUAAAGCUCUUUUGUCAGGGAAGAAACAGCAGCUCUAACACAGUCUGCGAAUGACGGUACCGUAAGAAUAAGCACCGGCUAACUACGUGCCAGCCGCCGCCGUAG
rnacentral:rRNA from 1 species